AAGAGAAGUUGCACCGACACGGCC
rnacentral:siRNA from 1 species